rnacentral:sRNA from 12 species
CAUGAUUAGUCUAUCUAGGAUUGUUUAGAGGGUAGUUGCAGUCGCCCCAACUCCAACUUAUAAAGCAAUUUUUGUUUUGUAAGUAGGGUGAGAAACAACAUUUUGUUGGAAACUCUAUUUUUAAGAAAUUAGAGAACUGU